rnacentral:rRNA from 1 species
UACAGAGGGGGCAAGCGUUGUUCGGAAUUACUGGGCGUAAAGGGCGCGUAGGCGGCCUGCUAAGUCGAACGUGAAAUCCCCGGGCUCAACCCGGGAACUGCGUCCGAGACUGGCGGGCUCGAAUUCGGGAGAGGGAUGCGGAAUUCCAGGUGUAGCGGUGAAAUGCGUAGAUAUAGGAAGGAAUACCAGUGGCGAAGGCGGCCUCCUGGAUCGAUACUGACGCUGAGGCGCGAAAGCGUGGGGAGCAAACAGG